rnacentral:rRNA from 1 species
GGGGAAUAUUGGACAAUGGGCGAAAGCCUGAUCCAGCCAUGCCGCGUGAGUGAAGAAGGUUUUCGGAUCGUAAAGCUCUGUUAUUGGGGAAGAAGAAUGACGGUACCCAAUGAGGAAGUCCCGGCUAACUACGUGCCAGCAGCCGCGGUAAUACGUAGGGGACAAGCGUUGUCCGGAAUGACUGGGCGUAAAGGGCGCGUAGGCGGUCUAUUAAGUCUGAUGUGAAAGGUACCGGCUCAACCGGUGAAGUGCAUUGGAAACUGGUAGACUUGAGUAUUGGAGAGGCAAGUGGAAUUCCUAAUGUAGCGGUGAAAUGCGUAGAUAUUAGGAGGAACACCAGUGGCGAAGGCGGCUUGCUGGACAAAUACUGACGCUGAGGUGCGAAAGCGUGGGGAGCGAAC